UAAGGGCGACUGAAACGGGAAGAGCCCAGCGCAUAACCUCGCGGCCGACACCGCGAGGGGUGUUGCGUUUCGGUGGGUCCGUCCCGCCGCGAGCCGUACCGUCUAAGUCACGCUUGAAAGCGGCCACUACCCGCGGAGGGUGAUAGGCCCGUGUGGCGGAUGCCCGCGAGGGUGAUCAGGCUCCGGCGGAGGGACCGCAUUCACCGCAGAGUCGGGUUGCUUAGUAUCGCAGCUCCAAGCAGGUGGUAAACUCCAUCUAAGGCUAAAUACGACCACGAGACCGAUAGCGAACAAGUACCGUAAGGGAAAGUUGAAAAGAACUUUGAAGAGAGAGUUCAAGAGUACGUGAAACCGUUAAGAGCCUAAACGGAUGGAGCCUCGAAGGUCGAACUGAGGGGAUUCACCCCGUCGGCUGUCGCGGGACGUGUUCCGGUUUUGGCGACCCAGGCUUAUUUGGGCGCGCCGGCCGUCCCAUCGCGGCGUCGGCGGGCGUACUUCCUCCUCGUAGUAGAUCGCCGCGACCCGUUGCCGGGAGGUCCAAGGCCCGGCUGGAUUGGUACCCCGCCGCCCGUCGCCCUCGCGGCGGCGGCCGCGGUUCGGGGGAAACCUCCGGUGUCCUGGCAGCCCGGCGACGGUCACUCCAAGGAGGACCGGCGCUCCCCCCUCUCUCUCCGGGGCGGGGGAGGAGCCGCCGGCACUCUCGCGGCGCACCACGUAUCGGCGAUCCACCCGACCCGUCUUGAAACACGGACCAAGGAGUCCAACAUGUGCGCGAGUCAAAGGGCGAACUAAACCCGCAGGCGCAAUGAAAGUGACACACGCCCGAGCCAUCGGGCAGCGGGCCGAUCCCCGGCCGUCUCGGGCCCCCCCUGCGGCCGGAGAGCCGUCGCUGGCGAGGGGGCGUCUCGCCCCGGAGCCGACGGCGGCCCCCUCCGCGCGGGGGCGGACUCGGCGGCGCGGGCUCCCCGCGCGCGCUCCGGCGCGCGUCGUGGGGGCUCAGGAGGGCGCAGGCCCGGGACUUGUCGUACGGCGCCGCGCGGCCGAGCCCUUAGCGGGGCGGGGCUGCGACCGGUCGCCGACAAGUACCGAGAGCGUACACGUUGGGACCCGAAAGAUGGUGAACUAUGCCCGGCCAGGACGAAGCCAGAGGAAACUCUGGUGGAGGUCCGCAGCGAUUCUGACGUGCAAAUCGAUCGUUAGAGCUGGGUAUAGGG
rnacentral:rRNA from 1 species